AGCCUACGGGAGGCAGCAGUGGGGAAUAUUGCACAAUGGGGGGAACCCUGAUGCAGCGACGCCGCGUGGGUGAAGGAGUACUUCGGUACGUAAAGCCCUAUCAGCAGGAAAGAAAAUGACGGUACCUGACUAAGAAGCCCCGGCUAACUACGUGCCAGCAGCCGCGGUAAUACGUAGGGGGCAAGCGUUAUCCGGAUUUACUGGGUGUAAAGGGAGCGUAGACGGCAGUGCAAGUCUGAAGUGAAAGGCGGGGGCCCAACCCCCGGACUGCUUUGGAAACUGUGCUGCUGGAGUGCAGGAGAGGG
rnacentral:rRNA from 1 species